CUCGUCACAAUCCCAGCAAUAUUUCCUCUCUCUCUUCAAUCUCGAUCUAUCAGUUUCACAGUUGUCACCGCAUGCAGCAUAAAGACAUAAAAGACGGUCUCACUCAAUGUCUUAUUCACCUGCCCCUAUUCCACACAUCUCUAGCACCUAGCUCGGCCUUCAUUUAUAUCUCCGACUCAAGCACAGUUUUGCCGAGCGAGCUAAUUCCACACAUUUUGCAAGAGAUCGAUUGCAUAGAUCACUACAAGUGCAGCUAGCGUGCAGUAUCGAAUAUCGUUAAUUUCCAGCACCAUUUGUAUGGCCAGUAGUGCACAAUUAUCACCUCUCAUUGCUCCUAAAAAUUCAGGAAAGGAGGAGCUUCUCUUCUCAGGUGACCCCAAGUUCGGUCUCCAUGCGCCCUCAUGAUCACCCCAAGCUUGCUCAGCCCGAGCUUCCUUGGGCACUUCAACGUCCAUGAAGAUCAUCAGCCAUAUAUACAGAUUUAGCAGCAAGCAUCCAUUGAUGUCAAGAGUUCAUGUGGAGAUCAAUUUGUCUACCUGUAUAAUAACUGCCUGCACUGAACCCAAUUUGUCCAAUUCUUGAGGAACUGCUGCAUGCGUAUUAGGGAUCGAUGUGUAUUUCUAUUUAAGUUGCUAGCUAGCUGGUAUAUACAUAAUUCCCAGCAAGUCGUAAUUUGUUUGUUGCUUUAAGAUUAGUCAUAUUGUUAAUUUCUUUUUGAGAUAGGAGAUAUCAGAGUACUUGUAUCCAAAUGAAUGUGAACCAUUUGAUUUGUAUA